UGUUCAGUUAUAAAAUACUAAUUUUCAGAUUAAAUUAAUUAGAUAUAAGUUUUUAAAUUUUACUUUUUGUGAGACUAAUUUGUGCUAAUUGAAAAUAAAAUUAAUUAAGUUGAUGUUGAGCUGUUGGAUUUUAGUAUAACCUCGUAAAGAAAAAAAAAUCGGCUAGUUUGAUUAAAAUUACACUCUUUCAUUAAUUCGGUAGAUGAACUGUCAGUUCAAACGGUUUAGAAUUAUUUUUUGACUUAUCCGGUUUAGAGGGUUGAAUCGAACCGAUUUACAGGCAGGAUAACGUUUGGACGUUUAAGUUAUACGUGCAUUACUCUUUUCUCUCGUAAUGCGUGGGUUACUAUACUUACCUGCAUCUAUUCGUUGUAAUGUGCGGAUUACUAUAAUAGUUUUAUAAUAUUUUGGAACGUGACAGACUUGCGCUGCAUUGGCUUCCAAAUCGUAUUUAAUAAUUUUAGGCCGUGUCUGAAUUGUUUACGGGAUAGUCAUUUCUUCCCAGCAACUUGUUUGGCUUUACUUUUCAGAAUCAAUGACUAUAUCGACUGUCAUAUCUGUCAUUUGAGAGAAAUUUCUAAAAUAUAUGUAAAUUUUACACUUCUCGCUCAUUUAAUGACCCACAAUUUUUCACUAAUUUUAUUAUUAUUUAUAAUUAUUAAAAAAUCUAAA
rnacentral:lncRNA from 1 species